rnacentral:rRNA from 1 species
AUUGAACGCUGGCGGCAUGCCUUACACAUGCAAGUCGAACGGCAGCGGGGGAGAAGCUUGCUUUUCCUGCCGGCGAGUGGCGAACGGGUGAGUAAUACAUCGGAACGUGCCCUGUAGUGGGGGAUAACUAGUCGAAAGAUUAGCUAAUACCGCAUACGAACUGAGGGUGAAAGUGGGGGACCGCAAGGCCUCAUGCUAUCGGAGCGGCAGAUGUCUGAUUAGCUAGUUGGUGGGGUAGAGGCCUACCAAGGCGACGAUCAGUAGCUGGUCUGAGAGGACGAUCAGCCACACUGGGACUGAGACACGGCCCAGACUCCUACGGGAGGCAGCAGUGGGGAAUUUUGGACAAUGGGCGAAAGCCUGAUCCAGCAAUGCCGCGUGUGUGAAGAAGGCCUUCGGGUUGUAAAGCACUUUUGUCCGGAAAGAAAUGGCUCUGGUUAAUACCUGGGGUCGAUGACGGUACCGGAAGAAUAAGGACCGGCUAACUACGUGCCAGCCGCCGCCGUAAGAC